rnacentral:rRNA from 1 species
ACAGCAGUAGCCGCGGUAAUACGAAGGGGGCUAGCGUUGUUCGGAAUUACUGGGCGUAAAGCGCACGUAGGCGGAUAUUUAAGUCAGGGGUGAAAUCCCAGAGCUCAACUCUGGAACUGCCUUUGAUACUGGGUAUCUUGAGUAUGGAAGAGGUGAGUGGAAUUCCGAGUGUAGAGGUGAAAUUCGUAGAUAUUCGGAGGAACACCAGUGGCGAAGGCGGCUCACUGGUCCAUUACUGACGCUGAGGUGCGAAAGCGUGGGGAGCAAACAGGAUUAGAUACCCGCGUAGUCCCUGUCUCUUAUAC